rnacentral:rRNA from 1 species
GACGAACGCUGGCGGCGUGCCUAAUACAUGCAAGUCGAACGAGUGGCGGACGGGUGAGUAAUGCUUGGGAAUCUAGCUUAUGGCGGGGGAUAACUACGGGAAACUGUCGCUAAUACCGCGUACCAUAGGAUGAGCCCAAGUGGGAUUAGGUAGUUGGUGGGGUAAUGGCCUACCAAGCCGACGAUCUCUAGCUGGUCUGAGAGGAUGCCCAGCCACACUGGGACUGAGACACGGCCCAGACUCCUACGGGAGGCAGAAGUGGGGAAUUUUGGACAAUGGGCGAAAGCCUGAUCCAGCCAGGCCGGGUGUCUGAAGAAGGCCUUCGGGUUGUAAAGGACUUUUGUCAGGGAAGCGGUACCUGAAGAAUAAGCACCGGCUAACUACGUGCCAGCAGCCGCGGUAAUU